CGGGAAGCUCCGCCUCGGUCGGGGCGCGGGGUGAGGGCGGGCGCGUGGGGCCCACGGGCGCCCGUGGGCGAGACGAGGGGUCGGACGGGGUAGCCAGUCGCCGCUGUCGCGCUCCAGCGGGACUAUUUCCCGUGUUGUUUCACACGCACACCUCCGCCGCCUUUUUGGGUACGAUAUGGUUGUCGGAGCAACGCCGGCCCGGGAGGGACGGGACUACUUUCAGUCACAGGGCGGUGGCGGCUGCACAAAGGCGGCCGUUCUCCUCCGCCAGCAGAAGAUGCUGCCUAGUGUCCAGGAUGAGAACUGCAUUUCUUUGUGGCUGAAAAAAUCCUCACAACAAAAACUUCACAGAGAAGGUCCUUGAGAUCAGCCGAGCAUAGGGACUAUAAGCUCCCAAACACAAUUGCCAAGAACUACUGCACUAGAUGCAGCUACAGAACUAGAACAGAUACACUUGCUGGCAAGAAAGAACAAGGGCACUACAGAAGACAACCUUUAUAAAGAAAUGAAGAAAACAAAGUGGUCCUGAUGAUAUCUCAAAUCCAAUAAACUGCAUUAGAAAUCAAAUCACAAAUUGUCAAUCUUAAAAAAACAAAUAAACACCUCCUGAACAUACUUGGAUUGUA